UAGAGUUUGAUUCUGGCUCAGGACGAUCGCUGGCGGCGUGCCUAACACAUGCAAGUCGAACGGAAACAUCCCGUCGAUGCGAUUUCGGUCAAGUCAAGGGAUGUUUUAGUGGCGGACGGGUGAGUAACGCGUGGGCAACCUGCCUUACACCGGGGGAUAACACUUAGAAAUAGGUGCUAAUACCGCAUAACAGGAGAACAUGCAUGUGUUUUCCUUGAAAACCACGGUGGUGUAAGAUGGACCCGCGUCUGAUUAGCUUGUUGGCAGGGUAACGGCCUACCAAGGCGACGAUCAGUAGCCGGCCUGAGAGGGUGGACGGCCACAUUGGGACUGAGACACGGCCCAGACUCCUACGGGAGGCAGCAGUGGGGAGUAUUGCACAAUGGGGGAAACCCUGAUGCAGCGACGCCGCGUGAGUGAAGAAGUAUUUCGGUAUGUAAAGCUCUGUCAGCAGGGAAGAAAAUGACGGUACCUGACCAAGAAGCCCCGGCUAACUACGUGCCAGCAGCCGCGGUAAUACGUAGGGGGCAAGCGUUAUCCGGAUUUACUGGGUGUAAAGGGAGCGCAGACGGCAGUGCAAGUCCGGAGUGAAAGCCCGGGGCCCAACCCCGGGACUGCUCUGGAAACUGUACGGCUGGAGUGCCGGAGAGGUAAGCGGAAUUCCUAGUGUACCGGUGAAAUGCGUAGAUAUUAAGAGGAACACCAGUGGCGAAGGCGGCUUACUGGACGGUAACUGAACUUUAUGCUC
rnacentral:rRNA from 1 species